UACGAAGGGGGCUAGCGUUGCUCGGAAUCACUGGGCGUAAAGCGCACGUAGGCGGACUCUUAAGUCGGUGGUGAAAUCCUGGAGCUCAACUCCAGAACUGCCUUCGAUACUGGGAGUCUCGAGUCCGGGAGAGGUGAGUGGAACUGCGAGUGUAGAGGUGAAAUUCGUAGAUAUUCGCAAGAACACCAGUGGCGAAGGCGGCUCACUGGCCCGGUACUGACGCUGAGGUGCGAAGGCUAGGGGAGCGAACGGG
rnacentral:rRNA from 1 species